CAGCCGUAAACAAUGUGCGUUAGGUGUGUCGGUAACCACGCGUUACUGAUGCGCCGAAGAGAAAUCGUGAAACGCACCACCUGGGAAGUACGGUCGCAAGGCUGAAACUUAAAGGAAUUGGCGGGGGGAGCACCACAACAGGUGGAGCCUGCGGUUUAAUUGGAUUCAACGCCGGACAUCUCACCGGAUAAGACAGCUGAAUGAUUGUCAAUCUGAAGGUUUUACAUGACUAGCUGAGAGGAGGUGCAUGGCGUCAGUGACUGU
rnacentral:rRNA from 1 species